UUGAUCCUGGCUCAGAAUCAACGCUGGCGGCGUGCCUAACACAUGCAAGUCGAACGCGAAAGCCCCGCAAGGGGUAAGUAGAGUGGCAAACGGGUGAGUUACACGUGGGUGACCUGCCUUCGAGUGGGGGAUAACGUCCCGAGAGGGACUCCAAUACCGCAUGACAUCCUGCUCUUGGACGAGCGGAGAUCAAAGCUGGUGAUCGCAAGACCUGGCGCUUGGAGAGGGGCCCGCGUCUGAUUAGCUAGUUGGUGAGGUAACGGCUCACCAAGGCGACGAUCAGUAUCCGGCCUGAGAGGUCGGACGGACACACUGGGACUGAGACACGGCCCAGACUCCUACGGGAGGCUGCAGUGGGGAAUUGUUCGCAAUGGGCGCAAGCCUGACGACGCAACGCCGUGUGGAGGAUGAAGAUCUUCGGGUCGUAAACUCCUGUCGAGCGGGAAGAAUGUUUCGCGGAUGAAUAAGCCGCGGAAGUGACGGUACCGCUAAAGGAAGCUCCGGCUAACUCCGUGCCAGCAGCCGCGGUAAUAAGGU
rnacentral:rRNA from 1 species